rnacentral:rRNA from 1 species
AGAGUUUGAUCCUGGCUCAGGAUGAACGCUGGCGGCGUGCCUAAUCCAUGCAAGUCGAACGGAGUAUCAGCAAUGGUACUUAGUGGCGAACGGGUGAGUAACGCGUUGGUGACCUGCCCCGAAGCGGGGGAUAACAGACCGAAAGGUUUGCUAAUACCGCAUAAUUUGUUGAGAGUUAGAGAGCUCGACAAGAAAGCCGAAAGGCACUUUGGGAGGGGCCUGCGUCCCAUCAGCUAGUUGGUAAGGUAAAGGCUUACCAAGGCGAUGACGGGUAGGGGACCUGAGAGGGUGGCCCCCCACAAUGGAACUGAAACACGGUCCAUACACCUACGGGUGGCAGCAGGAGGGAAUAUUGGUUAAUGUGCGAAAGCGCGAACCAGCAACGCCGCGUGUACGAAGAAGGCCUUCGGGUUGUAAAGUACUUUUCACCGGGAAGAGGAAGGACGGUACCGGUGGAAUAAGUCUCGGCUAACUACGUGCCAGCAGCCGCGGUAACACGUAGGAGACGAGCGUUAUCCGGAUUUACUGGGUGUAAAGCGCGUGCAGGCGGUCUGUUUAAGUUGGAUGUGAAAGCUCCCGGCUAAACUGGGAGAGGUCGUUCAAAACUGGCAGGCUAGAGUGUGGUAGAGGGGAGUGGAAUUCCGAGUGUAGCGGUAAAAUGCAUAGAUAUUCGGAAGAACACCAGUGGCGAAGGCGACUUCCUGGACCACAACUGACGCUCAGACGCGAAAGCCAGGGUAGCAAACGGGAUUAGAGACCCCGGUAGUCCUGGCAGUAAACGAUGUGGACUUGGCGUUGGUGGGAUAAAACCUAUCAGUGCCGAAGCAAAC